rnacentral:rRNA from 1 species
UACGGGAGGCAGCAGUGGGGAAUAUUGGACAAUGGACCAAAAGUCUGAUCCAGCAAUUCUGUGUGCACGAUGAAGUUUUUCGGAAUGUAAAGUGCUUUCAGUUGGGACGAAGUAAGUGACGGUACCAACAGAAGAAGCGACGGCUAAAUACGUGCCAGCAGCCGCGGUAAUACGUAUGUCGCAAGCGUUAUCCGGAUUUAUUGGGCGUAAAGCGCGUCUAGGCGGUUUGGUAAGUCUGAUGUGAAAAUGCGGGGCUCAACUCCGUAUUGCGUUGGAAACUGCCAAACUAGAGUACUGGAGAGGUGGGCGGAACUACAAGUGUAGAGGUGAAAUUCGUAGAUAUUUGUAGGAAUGCCGAUGGGGAAGCCAGCCCACUGGACAGAUACUGACGCUAAAGCGCGAAAGCGUGGGUAGCAAACAGGAUUAGAUACCCUGGUAGUCCACGCCGUAAACGAUGAUUACUAGGUGUUGGGGGUCGAACCUCAGCGCCCAAGCUAACGCGAUAAGUAAUCCGCCUGGGGAGUACGUACGCAAGUAUGAAACUCAAAGGAAUUGACGGA